CCAGUUUCAACUGAUCUUUCCUUGGCGCAAAAAUCCCAAACCUAUAAAAAAAAAAAAUGAAAAUUAAAAGGCAAGUAUGAAAGUCUUCGUCGGCCGAAUGCGGCGUCCGCCGUGCCGCAGGGCUCCGACGAGUUCCGCUCCUUCUUUCGCCGUCUCCCUGAGUUUGAAUUCUGGUUCGUAAUGAUAGAAGCUCAAUUGGCAUUGUCAGGGAUAGGAACAUUACUGAUGGCUGGAUAGAUUGAUGUAAAGAAGUCAUGGAUUUUGGUGCAGUGAGAGCAACUUCAAUUGAUGUGCAAGUGCAGGCAGAAGAUGAGAUUAUUGGUGUAUUAAGCCAGUCAAUGGUGAGAAUGUGAAUUUCUUUUAGGGAGGAGAUUUUGUUAGAAAGUUGUGUUAGGAGAGUGAAGCUUUACUAGGAAGAGCUCAAGUAAAUAUGUAUGGAAUUCAUUUACUUAUCAAAAGAAGGAUCUGUAAUUCUUCGUUGAAAUUUCACAUCCAGAAUAUCAGCCUUUCAUCGUUGAAAUUUCAUUGUUGAUGGAAGAUAUAUCUUCUCAGUGUCUUGAUAAUUAUUGCUCAGCUCCUCGAACCGUGCAGAGUUAUCAAUCUUUUUAUGUGGUUCUAUAUGCAGCU